GGGGUGGCGCCGACGUAGGAGAGUCGGGCCUGCCUGUAAAGCAGGUGCCUCACGCUGAGUGGGUUCGAAUCCCACCCGCCCCA
rnacentral:tRNA from 1 species